UCCAGUCCAUCCUUAGGACCAGUCCUUGAGAAUGACAGUUAUAAAACUAAUUAAAAAAGAAGAAAUAAAGUAGAGUAAUGUCAUCAAGAACGGAAUUUUAUAAGUUUUAGGAGUGAGAUGUAGGAUUGAACUGGAUCGGACCGAGACUGAACUGGACGGGAUUCCAGUCUUUAGUUCUAAAUAAGGAGUGACACAGCACGAUUUAUAUCCAUUUAGAUGUUUGGAAAAAAAUACGACGAAUCAGUACCUCAAAGAAUGGUCAUCAAAAAAAAAAAGUUACCUAUCGCGAAAAGUAAAAUCAUUUAGACUUUGAGAAGUAACGAGCUAGUUUCAAAAGUAAAGAUACCUAAAAUCAUACUUAACCCUCAGUUUUGACACUUGUAGUAUAUAUAAUAUACAUACUCUAUAGCUUGAUAAGCAUUCAAUGAAAAUAAUAAGUAAGUUGGGU
rnacentral:lncRNA from 1 species